rnacentral:rRNA from 1 species
AUGAACGCUAGCGGCAGGCCUAACACAUGCAAGUCGAGGGAGAAGCCCUUUCGGGGGCCGAAACCGGCGCACGGGUGCGUAACGCGUAUGCAACCUACCUUUCACAGGGGGAUAGCCCGAAGAAAUUUGGAUUAAUACCCCAUAAUAUUAUUGGAUGGCAUCAUUUGAUAAUUAAAACUGCGGUGGUGAAAGAUGGGCAUGCGUCCUAUUAGCUAGUUGGAGUGGUAACGGCACCCCAAGGCUACGAUAGGUAGGGGUCCUGAGAGGGAGAUCCCCCACACUGGUACUGAGACAGGGACCAGACUCCUACGGGAGGCAGCAGUGAGGAAUAUUGGUCAAUGGUCGGAAGACUGAACCAGCCAUGCCGCGUGCAGGAAGAAUGCCUUAUGGGUUGUAAACUGCUUUUAUUUGGGAAGAAUAAGGCGUACGUGUACGUUGAUGACGGUACCAUAUGAAUAAGCAUCGGCUAACUCCGUG